rnacentral:lncRNA from 1 species
CCCUCAUCUGUGGCUGUUUUCUGUUUCAACUAAAAGUGGCUGUUCCCCUGUCUCCAGCUUCCUCCUGCUCUUCUGCAAUAGACCAGUUCCUGUCUAACUCUGAAAGUGCUCUGUACACCGUUCUGCACAGGGGACAUCAUCAGGAACUCGAGAAACUGCCCAUACACAAUGACCCAGAAUCCCUGGAAUCAUGCUUCUGAUUGAGGACAUGGCUCACAACUUAGCCAUUCAUUCGCAUUCAUGUUUGCAUGAACAGGUCACCCUGGCAUCACUUCUGAACCUCAUCACCACCAGUGAGGCAUCAGGAAGCCUGCCGUGUCAAGAAGAGAAGCAUCUGAGGAAGAGGAUGAUGUGCUGCAGACAUAUCUAACAGAUUGGCCUUGACAAUCACUGGAGUUGAUAAAUGCUACAAGCAGACUAUCCCCAUGUCUGGGACAAAGGAAGUUCACUGUGCCUCCUCUCCACUUGACUCUCCAGGCUGCAAGACUCUUCAGCUCUGAAACCAGAGAGGGAUGCACCAUUCUAGCCUUCACCAUUAACUGCUAGAAAGCAAAAGAAAUAAAAACCAACUUCUUAAACUGAUACCCAAGUAUAUGCUUGUAAAAAAACCUUUUCCUUCUGAGGCCCCACCCUCUUGUCUUGCCAACAUUUCCACUUCGUGCUGCUAACUUGCUCUGUCCUGAUGCAAAUUGCUGUCUAGCUGGAGAGUGGUGGGGGGGCGGGGGUGGGCAUGGGGUGGAUGAGGGAGGGGACCUAGGGAGGGGCUGGGGAGUGGAUAUAACUACACUGCCUUUAAUAUUGUCUUCAAGCAAGAACAAAAAUAAUGUCUUCUUGGUGCUGUGCUGUCUACCCACUUAUCUCUUUGGUAUUGGAUCUCUCUGGUGAGAAAACGUUGUCACUCCUCUCUUUUUGUCUCUUCACUUUGCUGUGGUCAAAAUCUUGUAACAUCUAGUCUAGGAAGGAAAAAAAGACUAAUGCAUUUACCUCUUCUGGCCAAAAUUUGUAAUCUCUUUUCCAUCUAAUUUAGAAAACUGAGGCUGAAUAUUUGGUUUGAAGUCAAACAAUUCAGGAAUGGAUUUGAAGUCCUAAGUAUGAACAACGCAUUGCUUUGGGCCUUACCCAACACUUAACUUCACCUGUCUCAUCUACAAAAUAGAGAUAAUUUCUGAGUUUGUACGAUUGUUGUAAGUGCUCCAACAUGGGUCAUCUGAGGGCCACUGUUAGGAUUUUUAUCAAAUGUGUUCUGCCUGUUCUGUUACCUAUUUAAUAUCCUUAUUUAAGUCCAUUCAAGUUUUCACUUACCUAAAUUUAUUUUUGAAGGGAACAUUAUAUCAGUACUCAAAAUAGAAAAAAAGGCUAAUGAGUUUUAACUAGAUGCCAGUGAUCAAAGUGCAACCUCUGUUUCUGUGUUUAAAAGGGAGACAAGUGAAUGUUGGAGAGUUGUUAGAAAUGCCCUACCUCUUGCUUGGGGCUCUUUCAGUUAAUUGGGAGGGUCAAAAGAGAAUUUACAAAAGAGAAGCUUCCAAGCUUUAGGAGUUAUUGUGAUUUAGCUACAAGCUGCAUUCUACACUUUUGGAAACAUGGAGAGAAGGGAUAAGAAACUGCAUACAUUUUUAACUACUGUUACAGUGGAUUCAGAUUAGGUUUCUCCUUCUUUACCUUUUCUUUCAGUUUGCCCCAGAUCUAUAUCUUUGUUAAUAAAAAUAAUAAUAAAAUAGCAAUAAGAGAAACUGACAUUUAAUGAGUUUUUUUUUUCUGCUAGGCAUUGUGGUCAGUGCUUUAUAUGAACUAUUUCAUUUAAUCCUUAUGAAAUCCUUACAAGAUUAGAAUGAAAAUUACCCCCACUUUACAGCUGAGCAAACCUCAGCUAAGACAUCUGGCGACUAGCUCAAGGUAGCAGACCUGGGAAGUGUGGAUUUGAAAUGCAAACCCAGGCAGUCUUAUUCUAAAUGAGGCCCACAGUCCUAAGCAUGUGCAACUGUGGUCAUUAUGGGGAUGUAUGUAUUCCACCUUCACCUGUUAGACACUGCUAGGAGAGAGCAAUGAACAAUGUUGCUUAAGAAUUUUCCUUUCCACAUCAGCCUGGGACCCGAAGAGGAACUCUGGAAUGCCUAUUCCAGUUUGAACUCUGCCACUCAUUUGCUUUCUUGUUUUCCUUUGCUCUUGCUUCCUCUCCCUGAGCCUCAACUUCCAUCUUUAAACCAUGGAAGACUCUGGUAAAUUAUUGAUCAACAGGAAAGGCCCUCUGCACUGAUCUUUUAUAGUCUGUCUAGUAUUCAGCAACCUGGGAUUACUGAAUAACCAGCAAUAGACUGUGAGAACAAGAUGUGAGUCAAAGAAAGCAUUGGUCCUUUAUAUUCCAGGCCAUCAGAGAGGCUGCUCAUAGUAGGAGUGGCCCCUGAAAAAGGCAGUUUGCCUUCCCCAUAUUUCUUGGUCGGAACCUGGAACACUAUUUGGAUAUGCUCCCAUUGGUCUCAUUAAGCAUCAGCCUACCAUUGCAAGCUUUGUGCAGUUUCUCUGCACUUUUAUAAGAUCUCUAAGUCUCUCAUAACAGUAUAUAAAGAGGGAUUGUUGACUUCAUUUUACAGAAGAGGAAAGACUUUGUCAGGGAAAGUGAUUUGUCCAAGAACAAGAGCUGAUAUGAGGCUGAAGUCAGAGGACUGAAAACAUUCAGAUUUCUCAAUUCUAACAAAGUGCUUCCUUCUUAAGUUUAUUUUAUUUCUAAAUAUAUAAAUUAUACAUUUUUAGACUAUAUAAAUAAUAGGUUACAUAAAUGAUGUAUUUAUGCAAUCCAUUUCCACUGUAAAAAUUUGUUAUAUAUAUUAAUACAUACAAGAAAAUACCCCUUGACUCCAACUCAAUGCUACCCCCCUCCCCAGAAGUAAAUGCUUUUUUCACUUGGCUUAUGUAAUUCAAAUGUAAUUUUCUAUGCAUUUACAUAUGUAUAAAUGUACAUGUAUAACAUAUGGCUUUUUUUCUUAUAUGUAAAUAAAAUGAUGUUGGUAUAUAA